UUGCUGUGAUGAACAUUACUGUGUACCAGAGGAAGUCUCCUGUGACGGUAACACAAUCCCUCUAAGAAGUUCUGAGCUU
rnacentral:snoRNA from 1 species